UCAGUCAGGAAAGGAUCCGUCGUUACCCAACACAGUUCACCACUCCAUUGUCUCAUGGCAGUUAGCAGCACAACUGGGUCUCUGACUCAUUAAUGGCUUAAAGAAGCAUUAUUUUUACUCGGACAGCCCAGUGAGCAGGGGCACUGGGGAGGCUCAGACAGCUGAAAACCAGUCCCUCUUGCACCAGAGAUUAAAGCAGGAUGGGUGGCUGCACUGUCUGCAAAUUCCAGGCUGGAUGUGGCUCUGGGCAGCCUGGGCUGGUGGUUGGUGACCCUGCACACAGCAGGGGGGUUGAAACCAGAUGAUCAUUGCGGUCCUUUUCAACCCAGGCCAUUCUACGGUUCUAUGGAACAAACUAUGCUGCUCUUUUCUCCCUCUUAGUUCUCCAAAUCCUGGGAAAGAAAACUCAAAAAUGCAUACCAGGCACAGGCCCAGAGCUUGGUCACGUGCUGGCAGCACUCAGAACACUGUCUGUCUCCCAUGAAGAGAGCCUGAUGUUCCUGGGUCACAGCUUUCUCCCACAUCCAGGGUCAGCCAAGCUUAUCAAGCAGCACCAGAACCCAGACACACAAAUAGCUUUCUGCAGCACAACCGCCUGCAGGCCAGGGCUGGCCGGAAAGGCUUCCCAGUGCCAGCCUGCAUUUCUACUUGCAGUGCCAGAUGCUGCGGAGAGGCUCUGCUCACCUCCAGACAGGUGGAACUUACAGCCCUGAUGCUCCCAAGCCUGCAGACAGAGCGCUUUGCCUCCAGAUUUGCAGCUUUUAAAACCAUCCCCAGCGACAGAAGGCGAUGUGGGCCUAUUCUGCAAAGUUCUGCAACUGCGGGUACUCACAGUGGCAACGAUCCUUUUGACAGCAGCUGCAGAGAGCUCCUCACCCUUCGGCUGCUCCACCAGCGUCAUGCCCAAGUACUUGAGGCUGAAGAGCACCCCUUCCAGCAGCGUCUCUCGGGUAUCGGUCCAGUUCUCCGGGAGCUCUAGUGGGGCAAGAAACAGGCCCUGAGAGUCCCAAACACACAAGAAAAGCUUGCUGGGGGGGCACUGCAUUUUGCUGGCCGGCUGCAGCUCGUCCGUCCUGCCAUGAUGGAUUUCACCAGGUGCUGCUGGAGUGUCACAGACCUGUCCUGGCACUGCCUGCAGCGAGCGCUAACUCAGACUGGGGAGGAACCAAGGAGAGCAGUGCGGGAACCACAGGGCUGCAGCCACGAGCCACCAGGCAGGAUGCACACGAACAGGCUGCAACGCAGGGAGCACGCAGUGACAGCCAGGUGCUGCUCCGCACCGCUCCACGCGAGCAAAGCACCCACGAACUCCGCUGCAGCACCGCACGGCCGGCGGGCAGCAGCGCUCCUGCGAGGCGCGGCCCGGUGAGAGGCCAAACCCCCGCAGCUCAGGUGCUCUGCAGCCCGACCCCGAGGGCGGCCACACAGCCCGGCUGGGGGGGGUUUCUGCCUCACGUCGUGCAGCCGCCGGCCCCGAAUCCUUAACCCACACGGGCAGGGAUGAGAACGGUCAGGAAGUUCGCUCCAGCCUUCCAGGCGCCUUCCCAUAAGGCGCUCCUCACAGCCUCGUAAGGCAGCGCUGAGAGCCCCCACAACAGCCCGAGCCGGGCGGCGGUUCCACCCAACCCGCGGCGCCCUCGGACCCCCAGCGCCGAUCCCGUCGGGCCGCCCCUCCCCGGACCGGGAGCAGAAGCGGGCCCGAACCCCGCGGGCUGCGGUGCGGGAGCGAAGUACUGAACCACGGCUGCAUACGUGGCUGCGCUCCGACGGUGACGGGCGCCGGCCCUGAGGUGAGGAGGUCUCACUGUGCCCGUACUGCUUCUUCCCACACACGUUGGCUGCAAAAGGUUCUGCGCGGGAUCUGCCAACGGCUGUGACCCCACAGGAGAAGGGAGGCGGCCAAAGCCAAACGCUGAAUGCGAACGGUGCCGAAGGAGGCAGCAAAACGGGGAGCAGCACAGCGAUGAGCGAUGCCAUUCCACGUUCUGCACGACGGUGGGAAACCUCCGGCAGUUCUGAGUAACGCUCCCACGGCGAGGAUUCCAAAGGACGAUCCAAAAAUGCGACUGCCAGCGACGCACAGACGUGGCUGAAGCUCCGAGCUCAGCCCAGAAGGAUUUAUCUGUGCUGGAAAGGAUGAAACUUCAAUACUUGACUGCCUUUUGCAUUCUGCCUUUUGCAUUUAUUAACGAGGGGCACCAAUUAGCAGGAAACCUCAGCAGAAGCCCUUUCAGAAGCUCUUUGUCUUUCCAGAGUCCGCUGCACGUUUGCAAAACCACAGCGCUGGGUUUAUUCUGCUCAUCCCAACGCAGUUUUGUUUCCCAUCCCUCCAACCCCCACCCCCAAAAUAACCUGCAGCCCUUUGGGAGUCAGCAGUGCAAACGUCUGUCCUACCAACCUACAUUGCACGUUUUAACUGAAACCUUUGUGCAAUUAAAAAAAACUCCUUAAAAACCUCCUUGGCACAACGGCUGGAGAAAUAAAAGAGUUGAACCUCUAAGUUUUCACAUAUGAGGUGACAGGAAAAAAAAGGAUAAUAAUAAUAAUAAAAAAAAACAGAACCGCAGCUUUUAUUAGCCAGCUUUACAGUCUCUUGUAUACAGUACAUUGCACAGCUCCGCCUUCACAACAACGCUUCCUGGGUUAAUAUUGUGCCUUCCGUGAUGCUGUAUCAUCAAGGCAAGUUACAGAACACUGCUGAGUUUAUAUCGAAAUAAACAGAAGAUGUAAACUUGGUUUAUAAUGAACAUCCAAAUUACCAUGUACAAUUUGCAGCAGACUCUGUAAUGAGCUUGAUAUAAAGCUAGAUGACAGCGAAGGGGGGAAAAAUAGUUUAAACUAUCAAGUUUCCUCUUGAAAUGUCUUUUCCCAAGGCACUGUGAACAAGACUGUCGGCAGUUCUCAAUGACCAGAGACACCAAUGGGAGCAUAAAUAUUUCACACAACAACCACCGUCGCAUCCUCACCCAUUUCCUCCUCCUUUCCCUUAAGCAACGCCCUGACUUUGUUUGGUCCUUGGAGGGGGGACUCAAAUGAUCAUCCGUGAUAACCAUAUGUUUGUAUUGAACACAUCUAUCAAGCACAGCUUUGUCGGAUUGUUUAACCCUUUCGCUGUCAAAACAAAAGGUUUUUCCCUCACUGUUUCUCAACGAAUCUGAUUGGCAAAUUCAACUCGAUUGUUAAAAAAAAAAACAACAGGGAGAAGAAAGGGUUCAAAAUCAAGCAAAGCCCUGUAUUUUCAAGAGGAAACCAUGCACAAGUACAUAAGAAGGCAAAAUUGGCUACUUGAAAACCAAGAAUUGUUUUUAAUGCAUUGGCCAAGGAAAAUAAAUUGCAAAGUUCUGUGAGGUCUUCUAAAAAUUUACAAGAAAAACGGAUGGGCAGUUCUAGUCGAUCCAGAUGUUCUUUUUUUUUUUUUUUUUCCUGUUUUUAAU